CACGAACUGCGCGAACGUUAUUCGGAAUCACUGGGCUUAAAGAGUUCGUAGGCGGCUUGGUAAGUCGGGUGUGAAAGCCCACAGCUCAACUGUGGAAUUGCGCCCGAUACUGUCAAGCUUGAGGAAGUUAGAGGUGAGCGGAACUGAUGGUGGAGCGGUGAAAUGCGUUGAUAUCAUCAGGAACACCGGUGGCGAAAGCGGCUCACUGGAGCUUUUCUGACGCUGAGGAACGAAAGCUAGGGGAGCGAACGGG
rnacentral:rRNA from 1 species